GCAAACACGAUUCCAGUGUAUGUGUAUGCAGUUUCUGUUAAAAAGUUCUUAACCUCAUCAUCAUGUAUCUAAUAUUCCUCCCACGAAAACCAUGAUUAGCAAGCCAAUCUCCCCUAAAUUUUCAUCACUAAAACCCCAAUUUGACUACUUAAUAACCAAUUCCAAAACCCUUAAACAAUUCAAACAAAUUCAUGCCCAAAUUAUCAUCUCCCAGCUUCCAUACUUUUCAUCAAAGUUAGCAUCUUUUUAUGCACUUUCACCUCAUGGAAACUUAUCUUAUGCGAAAACCAUAUUCAAUCAGCUUCCAAAACCAUCUUUACAACUAUACAAUGCACUCAUUAGAGCCUUUUCAACUUCCCAAAACCAAGCCCAGGAAUCCAUUUUCUUGUUUCUUGAAAUGUUACAAAAUGGUGUGUUACCGAAUAAUAUGACGUUUCCUUUUGUGUUUAAGGCUUGUAUGGUGUCUUGUAGGACUAAAGUUGGGAUCUUGGUUCAUACCCAUGUUUUGAAAUGUGGUUUUUUGUGUGAUUUGUUUGUGCAGAGUUCUUUGAUCAAGUUUUAUGCGAAUGGGAAGUGUUUGAGUGACGCGAAACGCUUGUUUGAUGAGUGUUGUGUGAGAGAUGUUGUUUGUUGGAAUAGCAUGAUUGAUGGGUAUGUGAAAUGUGGCGAAAUGGAGCUUGCCCGGAAAGUGUUUGAUGAAAUGCCGACUAAGGACGUGGUUUCUUGGAACAGUAUGAUUAAUGGGUAUGGAAUCAUUGGGAGGCUUAGUGAAGCGAAGGAAAUUUUUGAGCGAAUGCCAGUGAGAAAUGUGAUUUCUUGGAAUUCUAUGUUAGCAGGGUAUGUGAAGUGUGGGAAUGUGGAGGAUGUGGUGAACAUGUUUCGUGAUAUGCCUUGUAGAGAUGUCGUUUCGUGGAAUGCUAUGCUUGCUUGUUAUGCGCAGAAUGGGAAGCCGAAUGAAACACUUGCGUUAUUUGAUGAAAUGAGGGUUGCUGGAGUAAGGGCUAAUGAGAUGACUGUUGUUAGUGUAUUGUCUGCUGUUGGUCAGUUGGGUGUUUUAGAUCAAGGGUUGAGCUUACAUUUGUAUAUAAUUGAAAAAGGUAUUAAGAUUAAUUCAAUAGUUGCUACCGCAUUGAUAGAUAUGUAUGUCAAAUGUGGUAAUAUUCCAGAAGCUUUGAAAGUAUUUGGUUUAAUGAAAGUGAAAGACAUUCUUACCUGGAAUACAAUGCUAAUGGGUCUGGGAAUGCAUGGACAUGUUAGAGACGCUCAAAAUUUAUUCAAACAGAUGCAAGGUGAAGGAGUCCUACCAAACGACAUGACUUUUGUUGCUAUGUUUGGUGCUUUUCGGCACGCUGGAAUGACGGAAGAGGGUCAAAAACUAUUGUCUUCAAUGUUAUGUGUUUAUGGUGUUGAACCUAAAGUUGAGCAUUAUGGAUGUGUGAUUGACCUGCUUUCUCGAGCUGGAAGAUUGGAGGAGGCCUUGGAGAUAAUAAGGAAUAUGCCCAUGGAGCCCAAUGCUUAUGCAUGGGGUGCUUUGCUUGGAGGCUGUAAGAUCCAUGGGAACGCCAAGGUGGCUCAGAUAGUGGGAAAGCAUCUCCUUGAUUUAGAACCACAUAGUAGUGGACGGUACGUUGUUCUUUCAAACAUAUAUGCUGGAGCAAAACGUUGGGAUGAUGCAAGAAGUACAAGGAAACUUAUGCAAGACAAUGGUGUAGCCAAAACACCAGGGCUAAGCGUGAUAGAGUUAAAGGAAGACAUGCACGGUUCUGUGGUUGGGAAUCAGUCAUAAUUUGAAUAGACACUUAUUAAUAAUGGUUGGUAUGAGAUCAUAAUGCACUUGAAGAACACAAUUAGAUGUUCGCCUGGUACAGAUGAAUCUCUGUUUCAUAAAGAAGAGUGUAGAUAAUAGGGUUAUUAAUGAAGACCGUGUUAUCGUUUUGGUCAGUCAGGGAUAUGUUUGCUUGUUUGUUUUUUUACUCUCCAUUUUCUGAAGAGGUGGCAAACUGGAUGGGUCAGGCAGUUAACAGUUCAAACCGAAGCGGACUGACCCACAAGCCCACAGAGUAUACACUAUUAUGUGUGUUAUUACGUUGGUAAUCUUAACUUUCGGUCAUUGAUAAAACUGUUUAGAAGCUUCAAUGGGUUUGUAUACAUGUCAGAUGACUUUCAACGGGUAUGAAUUAAU